UUAAGUUAAGCACCUAUGAGCUAACAGUUUUGUAGAAACAUAGCUGAGAAGCAUCAGGCAGUGGCGCAGACGGCCUGCGGCGGGUCCCCGACAGGGAGUUGGGAAGCUGCUGGAGGGCUGCGCUGGGGGGCUUGUCGCGGGGGCUUCCGGGACUUUCACACCUGGUUAGACCCAGGAGCUGCGAUCGUGAGGCAUGGAGAUCCAAAAGAAACAACCACAAAAUUAGCAUCCUUUUGGGGAACCGCCUGUAAGAAAGUAUUUAGGCACCCACGGAAUAAGAGAGUGAUACUCUGCCAGGAUGGAAGUGUGUCCUUACUGUAAGAAGCCAUUUAAACGAUUAAAAUCCCACUUGCCACACUGUAAGAUGAUAAGGCCAACUGUACCUGCUGAUCACAAAGCUUGUCAGUCCAAGCUAGCUACACGCCCACAUGCUACAAGCAGGAAAAGACCAAUCACAGAUUUAAAUAACACUACAGAGAGAGAGUUAGAGACCAGGAGUGAAAAAAGAAAUACCAAGUUGGUAAAGGACAAACCAGAACGGACAGUGAAGUCUUUUCCACUACCGGCCGUUGGUUUAGAAAGAGCAAGUAACACAAAGGCAGAUGAAUACCUCAAGAAUCGAGUUCGGUGCUCCCUCAAAAUGCUAAAAGAUACUGAACCAAAGGUUGCUUUCCAGGGAGAAACCAAGGCUCAGUUUUAUGCAUCACAAAAUACCACUCCUAACAAAGAACUUCCCAAAGAUUUGCCUCCAUCAGGGGAGAGUAGAAGUAAGCUUUCAGAAACCAAAGCAUCUUUACCUCUUGGCCCAGUAGAACCUUCUUCAUCAAAUCAAGAUAGAAAACCUUCAGCCUUACCCAGUGAUGUACAGACCACUUCUCCUGAUUUAAGAUUGGACAAAAUUGAUCCCCCAAGACAGAAGCUUCUAGUAAAGUUAGUAGGUACAGCUAAUGGUGAUUAUCAUAGUUCUCCUAUGAAUCUCGAUCAUGGGAUUGAAAGAGUAAGAACGUCCUUGUCAAGCAAUGAGACAGAGUCGAAGGCCAGGGACCACCUCUCAGAAGUCUCUAGUGAUGUUAGAGACCCUGAGAUUCAAGAAAAGAGAAUGGAAUCACAAUUUUUAAAUUUUAAAGUUAGCCCAUUAGGUGAAAUCCACGUCAGGGAGAACCAAGGAGAAGGACUUGACCUUGGAGUGGAGGCACGUGGGAGCACAGGAAAUGCAGAGAAAAUUGUAUCUGUGACAGACACACAGGAACGGGCAAAGAACUUCAGUGGUGGUGAUUCGGCCACAGAGAAGAAAUGUCGAGACGAAGGUCCCGAUUUAAAUUCGUUCACUCCAAGGGAGACGACUUGCGGUGAGCUACUUUCUGUAUCACAGUCGUAUAAUCAAAAUCUGGCCUCUCUGGCUGUCCGAUUUUUUCAAGAAGAGAAAGCAGCAGCCUGCGGUCCUCACCGAGUCCCUGAUGUGAAGGUGUUCACAGAGCGUAGUGAGCGAGCUCCUCUGCCACACGGACCGGGCUGUGGGCCCCAGGCGUCACGACCUGGGUGCCAGCAGCCUUCACAUUCAGUCCUGCUCCACGCCUCUGACAGCCCCUUCAGUCAGGUGGGCGUUGCUGGCAGGAAGGGCCUCUCAAGCUCCCUGGGCCUGGAGUGGUUUCCAGAGCUCUAUCCUGGUUAUCUUGGACUGGGGGUGUUGCCAGGGAAGCCCCAGUAUUGGAAUGCAGUGGCCCAGAAGCCUCAGCUCAUCAGUCCCCAGGGGGAAAGACUCUCACAAGUUCCUUUGUUGGAAAGAAGCUCGACUGCUCUCAGGAGUUUGGGACCCCCGACCAGACUUACGCCCUCCAGCUUGUCUCUGAUGAGGCUCUUGGGAGCUGUCCAGAAAGGCUGGGUCAGGUGCAGCACCACCGUGAGGAGUGGAGUUGGGGGCGUCACCAUGCUCUUCGCGGGGUACUUCGUCCUCUGGUGCAGCUGGAGUUUCAGGCAUCUGAGUUCUCCCUGGAGAUCUGCUGGUCUUGUGCUUUGUCCUUAAAGCUGUUUGCCUGCCAGAUCGGCGCCCUUCUUAGUUCCCACCUGAGAACCGCCUUUCAGCAUUGAAACCUAACAGUUUAUACCCCAAGAGAGAAGGAGAAACAAUACGGCGGUCAGUCUGGUGUGUGCGGGUCACAGGAGUCUUACUUAACGUUACUUUCCGCAUUGAGAACACAAGCAUCCUUCUAGUUGAUUUCAGCCUGCCUCAGGCCUUCACCAGGAGGACAGCGUCUGAACUCCACCUCUCUUUUCAGUUCAGAGCUGCAGCGCUGGCGUAAGUGGUGACCCGGACACCACGUAAGAAAGCUCUGAGACUCGGGGAGCACGGCGAAGACCGAAGACCACUGCGGUGCGGACCGAGCGGUUUAGACUGGUAUUUGGGGCAGGGAGAGGGCGUGAAAAGAAUAAAGUUACUGGAUUCUGAAACCAUGA